AACAAUGAUUUCCCUAGUAACGGCGAGUGAAGAGGAAAGAGCUCAAAGUUGGAACCUGUUUGGCUUAGCUAAACCGGAUUGUAAACUGUAGAAGUGUUUUCCAGACACGCCUGGUAAAAAAGUCCUUUGGAACAGGGCAUCAUAGAGGGUGAGAAUCCCGUCUUUGGCCAGAGCUGUUGUCUUUUGUGAUACAUUUUCAAAGAGUCAGGUUGUUUGGGAAUGCAGCCUAAAUUGGGUGGUAAAUCUCACCUAAAGCUAAAUAUUUGCGAGAGACCGAUAGCGAACAAGUACCGUGAGGGAAAGAUGAAAAGAACUUUGAAAAGAGAGUUAAACAGUAUGUGAAAUUGUUAAAAGGGAACCGUUUGGAGCCAGACUGGCUUGACUGUAAUCAAUCUAGGCUUCGGCCUGGAUGCACUUGCGGUUUAUGCCUGCCAACGACAAUUUUUUUUGAGGGAAAAAACUAUUAGGAAUGUGGCCCCUCUCGGGGGGUGUUAUAGCCUUUUAGAAAAUACCUUGAAUUGGAUUGAGGAACGCAGUGAAUGCCUUUAGGCAAGAUUGCUGGGCGCUUUCGCUAAUAAAUGCUAGAAUUUCUGCUUCGGGUGGUGCUAGUGUUUAAAGGAGAAACUCGUCUGGUAUAUUUUUUAUUCGCUUAGGUUGUUGGCUUAAGA
rnacentral:rRNA from 1 species